AGCGAAAUGCGAUAAGUGGUGUGAAUUGCAGAAUCCCGUGAACCAUCGAGUCUUUGAACGCAAGUUGCGCCCGAUGCCAUCAGGCUAAGGGCACGCCUGCCUGGGCGUCGUGUGCUGCGUCUCUCCUGUCAAUGCUUUCCCAUCAUAUAGAUAGGUUUGCAUUGUGU
rnacentral:rRNA from 2 species